UUCUGGCUUCUAAUUUCUUUUAAAAUAGUUUUCCAAUGUGAUCCUGAGAAUGUAGAAUCAACAUUAUUGCUAUUUGUUGGAACUUUUUAAAUGGGCAGGUAUUUUAUUUUCGAAAACAGAGUAAUAGGCAAUUUGGUUGAACAGACUGAUUGCUUCUAUAACAUGAUUUGAGAUAGGAAGUUGAAUCCAGUCCCAGCCCACAUUUAGGCUUAAUGUCAACAGUGGAUUAAUUUAUGAAGUUAUAACUGCAUACUAGUCUCUUUUUCCAGAACCCCUGUUGUUAUACGGACCUUGUCAAUGCUUCCUUGAGGUAAGUAUUGGUAAUUUCUGCUGCCACCAACUAUUUUCUCGAAGACACUUCACUUGGCAACCCCCUCAAUCUCUGCAUGAGAGUAUUUUUACUACCUGUAUUGCUUUACUGACAGUAAAAAAAGUAAAUAUGAAAAAAAUGAACCAAUGCAAAUUUUUAACUCUAAAUUUUAAAGGCACAUGACUAAGGGUUUUAGCUCUUCCUUUGUUCCCUUUUGGUAAUUAAUUCUGCAAGACUUGACAGCUGGGGAUAGAAAAACAUUACAGAGGGUGGUGAGCACAGCACAAACCAUUAUGGGCUGUCCCCUAAUACCACUACAUGAGAUUGUUAGGGCUCACUGCCUUAGAAGGGUGAGGAGAAUCCUCAGGGACGACUCACACCCUGGUCAGCCCUUCUUCAUUCGCCUGCCAUCAAGGAGAAGAUAUAGAAGCGUAGCCAGCCACACGAACAGGCUGAAGAAGAGUUUUUAUCGGUGGGCUUUCAGAUUCCUGAAUGCGAAAUAACAUCGUAACUAUAUAGUACAAUAGACUUGCAGGGCCAGCCCAAGGUAUAACACGUUCACACUCGUGCAAUAGAACUGGGUGUUUGUUAAUAUGAUUUAUUGGGUUAGGGAUUUUCUGUCUUCACUGCGCAUUGUAUUGUGUUGUGUUGGGGUGCACUGAGGGAGUUCCACCAAUCUCAUUGUGCAUGUGCAAAGGUUAUUAUUAAGACAUAAAAUCAAAUUUUUAUUUUUUAAAAAGUUUGAAGAUAUAUGAAAUCCAACUUAUAAAUCUAUUUGUGACAGAUCACCAAGUUAUGAUUGGACUGAGGGCACAGCCGAAGCUCACAAGAAUUUCUCAAAGAGCAGCUAUUGAGGACAGUAAUAAAUGGCAAAAGAGUGCACAUCAGAGUCGGCAGUGGCUAAACGACCGAACAACUUUCUUAUCCAAACGAAGCAAUUUGAAGAGCUUUCCAUACACACAGAUGAGUUAUGGCAAUAGUUAUGUGGGAGGAUCAAGAGGGAAAACGAGGUCUAAUUCUCCCAGUCCAAACUCCUUCACGGAUGCUCAUUUUUUUCAGACAGACAUUCCAUUUGAACUCUGAAAAUCCGGCAGCAGAGGGUGGUGGGGAGGAAACACAACUUUUUGCUAUCGUUGCCUUUGCAACUUCUUUAAUCGUCCUAUCACAGGUAAGUCUGUUGCACUCUUUUUUGUUCUAACGGUGGUGCUCCCGUCUGCCAAAAUACACACUCCAGCAUCUGGACUCGACUACCUGCGACCUGAAGGAAAGUUUUGGGACAAAAUCCCCUUCCCUGUUGGAAGCGCGGGGAACGAGCGCGAGAGGCUUCCUCCAGCCGGAAGGGGGUGCGAGCGAGCGAGCGAACGACCGACCGAGCUACCGCCCCAUGACGUCACUAGCGCGCGCCCACUAGCGCGCACCUAACGAACGACAAGGCUUCGCGAGAGGCGGGUUCCCUGGUUACGAAGCAGGGAUGAAUGAUUCGGAGCCAGCCCCAGGUGAGGAGGAUGGUGGGGAGCCCGAGGAAGAAGGGGAAGAGGAGGAAGAAGAGGUCGCUGCUGGGGAUGUGGAUGCCGAGACUGCGCCGGGUGGGCGGAAGGUUCGUGGUGGGCGGAAAGCCCGGGGUAGGCCGCGCCUCACCGAGUCUGACCGGGUACGACGACGCCUCGAAUCCCGCAAGAAAUACGACGAGCGGCGAGUCUACCUGGGCGAGUCUCACGGCUCGUGGGUGGACCUGAGGCAGCGCAGUGGCUGGAGUGACGCCAAGCUGGCGGCUUAUUUACUGGAACUGGAACGAGAACAGCGGGCCGGGCGCCGCGGAAAACCAUGGGAGCAGAUUGCUUAUGAGCCACAGCGAAAGAAAAGAAGAAGGCGAAAUGUGAACUGCUUGAAGAACAUAGUUAUUUGGUAUGAAGAUCACAAGAAUCGCUGCCCUUAUGAGCCUCAUCUCUCUGAGCUGGAUCCCAACUUUGGGAUGUACACCACAGCUGUAUGGCAAUGUGAAGCAGGGCACCGCUAUUUCCAGGACUUACACUCACCACUUAAACCACUCAGUGAUUCUGAAAAUGAAUGUGACAGUGUUGCCAAUGGCACUGGAGCUGGAAGCUCUGAGUCUUCAGAAGAGAGCUCUAGCUCUGAGACAGAGGAACAUCUGGAGAAUCAGAAAGACAAGCCCCAGGUUCAACAAUCCUCAGCAAAUGCAGAAGGAGAAAAUACCAGUGGCCUCAUCACACAGGAUGGCAUCCAUAUUCCGUUUGAGAACUUACGAACAGAACAGGGUACUAGCAUUUGUCACAGUCCCUCCCUCAAUGGACCAGAAACAAUGGAAACUGUGGUAUGCAUGCCAGUGCCCGUGCAGAUGGGUUCAAGUCAUGGAACCCUGUUUGAGAACGUUUCCCAAGAGACACUUGGAGAAGUAGUAGCCAGCUGCCCUGUGCAAGGUAUGAUGCAAGGUUCACAGGUGAUCAUCAUUGCUGGACCUGGCUAUGAUUCUCUCACAGCAGAAGGAAUCCAGCUGAAUGUCACCAGCACAGGAGAAGAGGAGCUGCCUUGUGCUAUGAUAGAGGGUGUAGCACCUUAUACUCAGACAGAACCUGAAAAUGGACAACAGAGUAGCAUGGAAAACAUGGAAUGCAUCAAAACGAAAAAAGAAAAUAAGGCAUUCUUUAAACUCAAAAAAGAAGAGCAUCAUCCUCCAACAGAAACAGAAGCAUCCUGUAAUUCAAAACCAGCCCAUGAGAGCAGGGGGCAGGAACUAGAGCCUGAACCUGAGGAGGAGACUGAUGGAAACAGCAUGUCAUCCAUUAUUUAUGAGAUUCCAAAGGAGCCUGAAAAGAGGCGGCGGAGCAAAAGAGGUCGUGUCAUAGAUGCAGAUGGCAUGUUGGAGAUGUUCCACUGUCCUUACGAAGGAUGCACCCAAGUCUAUGUAGCACUUAGUAGCUUCCAGAAUCAUGUUAAUCUUGUUCAUCGGAAAGGAAAAACGAAAGUGUGCUCACACCCAGGUUGUGGCAAAAAGUUUUACCUAUCUAAUCAUCUCCGAAGACACAUGAUAAUCCAUUCAGGUAUAUUGUCACCUCUAAGUUUUGCUAUUUAUGAUAUGUCUUCAUCACUUUGGAGGUACGGUGUUUCCCUGAAAACAAGACCUAGCCUGAUUUUUAAGUGCACCUAAUAUAAGUCCUACCCAAAAAAACAGUCCUAGUGAAGAUCGUCAUCAGGUGGGGGAGCAGCACCGGAGGCUGUGAGGGCAGGGGGCCAACAGUGUCCAGCAGCCUACACAGUGCAGGUGAGUUGAUUACCUAUCCAAGCAGCAAGCAGAGGCGGGGGGAAGGCAGGCACACUGGGAACGCCAAGAGUUAGUGGGCUGGAGUAGAAGGGCAGCCACGGGAGGCUUGUCUUCGCAUGGCAGACGGAGGCAGAAGUGCGGGGGUGAGGGUGGGGGAAGGCAUGUGAUCUCGACACUCCCUGCGGGCCGCAGGCAAGCCAAUAGACACAAAUAUUAGCCACCCGCUGCCAGCCGUCCACUUCAUCCCACCGUCUCUUGGUUUGCCUGCAGCCUUCGUGGUGCGGCUGGAUUGUGUGCCUUCCCCCCAUGCCUCUACUUCCAUCUGCUGCCGGUGCCACCGCACAAAGAUGAGUCUCCUACAGCUGCCCGCCUGCUCUGGCCCACUGACAGUCGGGUUUCCUGUAGCCCAUGCAGUGUGUCUAGAUUGCGUGCCCCCCCCUCCCCCUGUCUGCUGCUUGGAUAGGUAAUGAACUCACUGGUGCUAUGCAGACUGCGCAGCCCCAGAGUGUGCCGACUAAGGGCCACGGGCUGCAGCUGCUGCCGGUCAAUGUCGGCCCCCACGCGCGAACUGCCUUUAUGCGGGCCAAGGGUGGGGCACCCAGCCAGUCUGAUCACUCUGAAAUUGUGUUUCCCCAAAAAUAAGCCUUAUUUUGGAGCCCCCCAAAAAUAUAAGACCGAGUCUUAUUGUUGGGGAAACAUGGUAUUUUAGUAUAUGAUGGCUCUGAUGAAAUUGUUAACCUUGCACAUCAAUGUAUGCCAACUAUUUUGAAUAAAGAGGUCCAAAAACAAUAUCAUUUUCUUACACUGGAAGAGAAAGUUGUUCCUCAUAUUUACUUCAGUAGACAAGAGUAAAAGAUGUGCAGCAAUCUCUAGAGGGGUUUCUCCCUUCCAGUCAAAUCACUGAGAAAUCUGUGGCUUUCUGGUCUAAGAGGAGUUGUUCCUCUUUUACUGUUUUUUCUUCAGGCUGGAGGAACAUGGUGACAAGUGGUGCAAUUAAAGAUUUUGCAAGAUUCCCAUUUUCUCUCAGGUUUCAUUCGGCACUUGAAUAAUUGGCCAAGAUGGUAUAUUUUCUGUGGAAGUUAGCAUAUUGAUCUUAAUUUCCAUUUUUUCAUGCUGCACAUUUUCUAUCUCUUAUAAUUUUAUCUUGGUAUUUUCACUGAUCAAAGACCCAUUACCUUUUCCAGAACUGAUUGCAAAUGCUUUUCAUUUUUCCCAUAAGGGAAAUUAUUAAUGGCAUUGUUCGGUCCACUAAAAAGGAUCUUUUUGAGGGGUCAGCAACUGGGCUGCAUUUAUGUCCUGUGGAAUGUGACUGUAUUUUAUGACUUUUUGCAGAAAACAAGCAUAUAUUUCCAUUAUUAUUUUUUUGCAAAACUGCCUGUAGCAAACUGUUGGUUCAUUUAAUGACCAUGGUGUUCACUUAAUGAUUGUGGAUUCAUUUAGAGACUAUGAUGAUUCAUGUAACAACCACUGCAAAAAAGAUAAUAUCAGGUCCAUUACAUGAGUGGCCCUAUUUACAACUGUCUUGAGUUAUGACUGUGAUAGGCAGCCUUCAUUACAGUUGUAAUUCGAAGACUACUUGUGCAGCAGUACAGCUGUCUGUCCAGUCUAGCAAGUUUUUUUGCAAAUGCUAAAAAUACUGUAACUUUCAGAGCUGACUUAUGCUGCGUGUACAAUUAUUAGGCAAGUGAGUAUUUUGACCAUAUCAUUUUUAUGCAAGUUUUCCACCUCCAAGCUGUAUAAACUUGAAUGCUUAUUGGAUAGAAGCAUAUCAGGUGAAGUGUACUUGUGUAAUAAGGGAGGGUGUGGCCUAAGGAAGAUCAACACCCUAUAUCUGUGAUGGCGAACUAUGGCACGCGUACCAGAGGUGACACGCAGAGCCCUUUCUACUGGAACACACACCGUUGCUCCAGGUCAGACCUCCAUGGCGUUUUGUGAGCUUCUGUUUCCCUACAAAUGGCGAAACAAAAGCUCACAAAAGAAAAAGAUCUUCCUCUUGCUGCACUGCCAGUGUUGGGAUGCCCCGCCUCCCGCUAGCCAGCUGGUCUUUGGGUCUCUGCUGUGUAUGCACGCAUAUCCACUCAUGCAUGCAUGUCUGUGUGGUCGCGCAUGUUUCACAAGUGCACGUACCUUUCAGUUUGGGCACAUACAUGCAGUUUGGGCACUCGGUGUCUCAAAGGUUCCCCAUCACUGCCCUAUAUCAAGGUGUGCAUAAUUAUUAGGCAGAGUCUUUUCCUCAGGCAAAAUGGGCCAAAAAAGAGAUUUAACUGACUAAAAGUCAAAAAUUGUAAAAAGUCUUUCAGAGGGAUGAAGCACUCUUGAAUUUGCUAAGAUGUUGGGGCGUGAUCACAGAACCAUCAAACAUUUUGUUGCAAAUAGUCAACAGGGUUGCAAGAAACAUGUUGAGAACAGAAGAUGCACAUUAACCAUCAUAGAUUUGAGAAGAAUCAAAUGUGAAGCUACCAGGAACCCAUUAUUCUCUAGUGCUGUCAUAUUCCAGAACUGCAACCUACAUGGAGUGCCCAGAAGUACAAGGUGUUCAAUGCUUAGAGACAUGGCCAAGGUAAGGAAGGCUGAAAUCUGACCACCACUGGACAAGAGAUAUAAGUUAAAAUGGCAAGACUGGGCAAGAAAUAUCUGAAGACAGAUUUUUCAAAGGUUUUAUAGACUGAUGAGAGUGACUCUUGACAGACCUAAACCCUAUUGAGCCCUUCUUAAAGGGGAGGAAGUGGUGAAGGAAAACAGUACACCUCUCUGAACAGUGUCUGGGAGGUUGUGGUUCCUGCUGCACACAAAGUUGGUCAUCAACAGAUCAAGAAACUGACAGACUCCAUGAAUGGAAGGCUUAUGACUCUAAUUGAAAAGAAGGGUAGUUAUAUUGGUCACUGAUUUUUUUUGAAAUAUCAGAAAUGUUUAUUUGUAAAUUUUGAGUAGUUUAUUAUUUUCACUUUAACAGAUGGAAAUAAAUGAGUGAGUGAAAUGGGAAACAUUUCGUUUUCAUUUAGUGGCAUAAUAAUUCUACACACUAAUAGUUGCCCAAUAAUUGCGCACACAUAGAUAUUCUAAGAAAGGCAAAACUUCACUUUUACUUUCUUAACUAUUCAGGUUUGAGGUUUAUCAAUAUUUUGGAUUGACCGAGAGCACUGUAAUUGUUCAAUAAUAAAAUUAAUCCUCAGAAAUACAACUUGCCUGAUAAUUGUGCACACAGUGUAUGUCUUAAUUAACUAUUAUAAAUGUAGUCCUUACAUUUAAAAAAUAAUAAUUCAGUCUCAUAAUAUCUGUUCCUCUCUUGCUUCUAUCCUUGUCCAUUCAUAAGUAUAGUUUAUUCUAAAUGAGGCAUAGAAUAUGUUGGAACAUUUGCAGAAGAAUAAAGAUUUAAUCUUUUAUAACUACAUGUUGAUUUAUUUUCAGAAAAUCAGUUUAUACACAGCAGAGAUUUUUCAUAGCCAUAUCAAAGUAAAUCUAAUUUUCUGUUUCCCUUGUAAAAAACAUUGAUUAAUGCUCUACAGCAUCACAGCCCAUUCUAUAAACAGCUCAGCUAUCCAGCAAUAUUGAAGUUCUUUUUAUUCCAGAGGUUCCUCUCAGCAAUACAUAUAAGGCCACUAAAUGGAUUUCUGCAUCUUCUUUUAUUAAAGGAAGUUUCUAAAAAUCUUGCAGAAUUCUAUCUCCCAUCUGCUUCUCCACUAUAGGAAAAUGAAGUAUGGACUUAAAGGCUCUCUUUCUACAGUGGACAGAAGAGAUAAUAGCUUUGCCACUCAGAAGGGAAGAGGUACUCUCUAUCAGUGAGUUCGUGAAUUUACUUGUGAGACUUGUGGAAAAUCCUUCAAGCGGAAGAAUCAUCUGGAGGUCCAUCGUCGAACGCAUACUGGAGAGACCCCUCUCCAGUGUGAGAUUUGUGGCUAU